UAGAGUUUGAUCAUGGCUCAGAUUGAACGCUGGCGGCAGGCCUAACACAUGCAAGUCGAGCGGCAGCACAGGGGAACUUGUUCCCUGGGUGGCGAGCGGCGGACGGGUGAGUAAUGGCUGGGAACCUGCCCUGAUGUGGGGGAUAACAGUUGGAAACGACUGCUAAUACCGCAUGAUGUCUACGGACCAAAGAGGAGGACCUUCGGGCUUCUCGCGUCAGGAUGGGCCCAGUUGGGGUUAGCUAGUUGGUAGGGUAAUGGCCUACCAAGGCGACGAUCCCUAGCUGGUUUGAGAGGAUGAUCAGCCACACUGGAACUGAGACACGGUCCAGACUCCUACGGGAGGCAGCAGUGGGGAAUAUUGCACAAUGGGCGCAAGCCUGAUGCAGCCAUGCCGCGUGUGUGAAGAAGGCCUUCGGGUUGUAAAGCACUUUCAGCAGUGAGGAAGGUUACGUAGUUAAUACCUGCGUGAUUUGACGUUAGCUGCAGAAGAAGCACCGGCUAACUCCGUGCCAGCAGCCGCGGUAAUACGGAGGGUGCGAGCGUUAAUCGGAAUUACUGGGCGUAAAGCGCAUGCAGGCGGUCUGUUAAGCAAGAUGUGAAAGCCCCGGGCUUAACCUGGGAACCGCAUUUUGAACUGGCAGGCUAGA
rnacentral:rRNA from 1 species